AUGCUCGCUUCAGCAGCACAUAUACUAAAAUUGGAACUAUACAGAGAAGAUUAGCAUGGCUCCUGCACAAGGAUGACACGCAAAUUCAUGAAGCGUUCCAUAUUUAA
rnacentral:snRNA from 1 species